rnacentral:rRNA from 1 species
AGUGAACGCUGGCGGUAGGCCUAACACAUGCAAGUCGAACGGCAGCACAGUAAGAUCUUGCUCUUACGGGUGGCGAGUGGCGUACGUGUGAGGAAUACAUCGGAAUCUACUUUUUCGGGGGGGAUAACGUAGCUAAACUUACGCUAAUACCGCAUACGACCUACGGUUGAAAGCAGUGGAUCUUCUGACCUUGCGCGGUUGGAUGAGCCGAUGUUGGAUUAGCUGGUUGGCGGGGUAAAGGCCCACCAAGGCGGCGAUCCGUAGCUGGUCUGGGAGGAUGAUAACCCACCCUGGAGCGGAGACAGGGUCCAGACUCCUGAGGGAGGGCGCAGUGUGGAACAGUGGACAAUGGGCGCAAGCCUGAUCCAGCCAUCCCGCGUGGGUGAAGAAGGCCUUGGGGUUGUAAAGCCCUUUUGUGGGGAAAGAAACGCAGCAGCUUAAUACCCCGCUGUUCUGACGGUACCCAAAGAAUAAGCACCGGCUAACUUCGUG